rnacentral:rRNA from 1 species
GUUGAACGCUGGCGGCGUGCUUAACACAUGCAAGUCGAACGGAAAGGCCCAAGCUUGCUUUGGUGCUCGAGUGGCGAACGGGUGUGUAACACGUGGAUCAUCCUCCCUGCACUUUGGGAUAUGCCGGGGAAGCUGCGUCUAAUACCGGAUAGGACCGUCGUAUAGUGUGGGUGGUUGAAAGCUCUUCGGUUUGGGUUGAGCUCGCGGCCUAUCAGCUUGUUGUGGGGGUAAUGGCCUACCAAGCCGUAGACGGUUAGCCGACCUGAGAGGGUGUACGUCCACAUUGGGACUGCGAGACGGCCCAGACUCCUACGGGAGACAGCAGUCGGGAGCAUUGCACAAUGGGCGCGAGCCUGAUGAAGCGGCGCCGCGUGGGGGAUGACGGCUUUCGGGUUGUGAACUGCUUUCGCUAAGGACGAAGCGUUUUGUAACGGUCCUAGAGGAAGAGGCACCGCCAACCUAGGU